UUGACUCCCUGAGCUCAGGGCGAAUUCUGGGUGUACCUGUUCUUAGCCGUUUAAUAUCUGAUAUGUCCUUUAUUUGAGGCCUGUAUAUUAAAUUGAUUUUUGAAAUGGGGGGAUGGAAUAGGAGCUUGCUUUGUCCACCCCACGCAUUGACCUGAUAUUGGCCAGUGUCUCCAGGAAUGGUGUAAGCAGC
rnacentral:snRNA from 1 species